GAAUAUUAGUCAAUGCUCGAAAGAGUGAACUAGCUAACUGAAAUCAAUUAUAAAUUGAUAACAUAAGGGAAAAUAAUGAUAUUACCUUAUUAUUAGUGUCGUCCAAAUCUGGUGCCAGAAGACUCGGUAAGGCCAGAGACACAAAUGUUAAUCGUCUUAAUCAGGCGUAAAGGGUUUGUAGGCGGCUUUAAAAUUUUCUUAUAAAAAAUAAAAUAAGUAAAGAAUAAAAGCUAGAAUCAAAUAGAGGAUAGAUUAAAUAAUGCUUAGAGUAGAUCUGAUAUUCUUAGAUACUAAGUAGAAUAUUAAAGGCGAAAGCUUUUUUCCAUUAAUGAUUGACGCUCAGAAACGAAGGUGAGGAUAGGAAAUAGGAUUAGAUACCCAAAAUACCCCUCUCUGUCAACGAUGAAUGGUAGUUAUUAGUAAAAAUUUUAUUAAUAGCAAUGUUAACACGAUAACCAUUCCGCCUUGUGAGUACAACUGCAAAGUUGAAAACAAAAAAAUUAGUCGGUUUCGGAGCAAACGAAGUGAAGCAUGUUAUUUAAUUC
rnacentral:rRNA from 1 species